CCCGUGCUGAGCAUGCGCGCCGCGGGGUAGGCGCGGGGACGCCGGGCCGUGCGACCUGUGCAGUGCGGGGCUCCUGGCCGGGGUCGCGCCGGUUCGGGGAGCAUUUAUCACCAAGAUCGCCUUGCCGUGUGUCGGUGUCACUGCUGUGGCUGCUGCCACGAGGGCAUGCAGAGGUUCUUGUUGCUUUACGCCUCCCAGCGCGGCCAGGCCAAGGCCAUCGCCGAGGACAUCUGCCAGCAAGCCUUGGCACACGGGUUUUCCGCAGAUCUGCACUGCAUGAGCGAGUCGGAUACAUAUAAUCUAAAAACUGAGACAGCUCCUCUUGUUGUCAUCGUGUCUACCACCGGGACCGGAGACCCACCAGACACCGCCCGCAAGUUUGUUAAGGAGAUACAGGACAAGACGCUGCCACCUGACACCUUAGCGCACCUGCGGUAUGGACUAUUGGGAUUGGGUGAUUCCGAGUACACAUUCUUCUGUAAUGGGGGGAAAGUGAUUGACAAACGCCUGCAGGAACUGGGCGCCCAGCACUUCUAUGACACCGGACACGCUGAUGACUGUGUAGGUUUGGAGCUUGUGGUAGAGCCGUGGAUUGCGGGACUCUGGGCCGCCCUUACCAAGCACUUCAGGUCCAAUAGAGGACGAGAAGAGAUGAGUGGAACUCUCCCAGAAGCCCCUGGUGCCUCCCCGAGUGCAGAGCCUGGGAAACCAGAGCUGUUAGGCAUCGUACCUCAAGUCCAGCGUCUGAGCUUAGAAGGUUCAGGAGGAAGGCCCUCGGAGGUCUUGAGGCAGAAUGUGGUGAACGGCGCCCUGUCGGAGGCUUUGAUUAAGGACUUGGAAGCCACACUUACCCAUUCUGUGCCCCCGCUCUCACAAGCCUCCCUGAGUGUUCCUGCUGCGCCCCCAGAAUACCUGCAAGUACACCUGCUGGAGCCUGCUGGCGAGGAGGAAAGCCAAGCAUCUGUGCCUUCAGCAGAUCCAGUGUUUCUGGUGCCGAUUUCAAAGGCGGUUCAGCUCACGAGGAGCGACGCUGUGAAAACCACCCUGCUGCUGGAACUGGACAUUUCCAAAACAGAUUUUUCCUAUCAGCCUGGGGAUGCCUUCAGUGUGAUCUGUCCCAACAAUGACUUGGAAGUACAGAACCUCCUAGAAAGACUGGAGCUCGCAGACAAGAGAGAGCAUCGUGUCCUCUUGAACGUUAAGACGGACACCAAGAAGAAAGGUGCCGCCCUGCCCCAGCACGUCCCCGAGAGAUGCUCUCUCCAUUUCUUGUUCACCUGGUGCCUUGAGAUACGAGCCGUUCCCAAAAAGGCGUGUUUGCGAGCCCUGGCCGACUACACCAGGAACAGUGCUGAGAAGCGCAGGCUGCAGGAGCUGUGCAGUAAGCAGGGAGCGGCCCAUUACAACCGCUUCGUGCGUGACGCCUGCGCGUGCUUGCUGGACCUCCUCCACGCCUUUCCGUCCUGCCGGCCGCCGCUGAGCCUCGUGCUGGAACAUCUUCCUAAACUACAGCCCAGGCCGUAUUCAUGUGCAAGCUCGAGUCUGUACCACCCGGGGAAGGUGCACUUUGUUUUUAACAUUGUGGAGUUUGUGUCUAACGCCACGACCAUGGUUUUGAGAAAGGGAGUGUGCACUGGCUGGUUGGCCACGAGGGUUAGCUCCUUUCUUCAGCCUAACUCCGAAGAUCCACAUGAAGAUGGCAGAGAAGGCCCGGCCCCUCAGAUCUCCAUCUCUCCUCGGCGAGUGACGUCUUUCCACUUACCAACGGACCCCUCCAUCCCCAUCAUAAUGGUGGGCCCGGGAACUGGCAUAGCACCUUUCAUUGGCUUCCUGCAGCACAGGGAGAAACUUCAAGAGCAAAACCCAGCAGGAGAUUUUGGGGCAGUGUGGCUGUUUUUUGGCUGCAGACAUCAGGAGCGGGACUACCUAUUCAGGGAAGAGCUCAGGCAUUUCCUGAAGCGUGGCGUCUUGACCCAGCUUAAGGUUUCCUUCUCUAGAGAUGAGCCUGCAGGGGAAGGGGAGGCCCCGGCCAAGUACGUGCAGGACAGCCUCCAGCUGCACAGCAAGCAAGUGGCAAGGCUGGUGCUCCGAGACAAUGGCUGUAUUUACGUGUGCGGAGAAUGUUUCCAUCAGCAGUCAAAUUCAAGUUGAUGUUUUCAAAAGGAAUCUCUAAGUAGUAGGGGCAGAAUUGAUUGUUCGUGUGCAGAAGUAACUGGUGAUUGGGGAUUUGGAAAACAUCUUGAAAGUCCAAGCUCUUAAAAUAGAUGCCAAAAAUAUGGCCAAGGAUGUCAGUGAUGCCUUUGUGGACAUAAUAAGCAAAGAGGUUGGUGUCGACAAACUGGAAGCAAUGAGGACGUUGGCUACUUUAAAAGAAGAAA